UUCAGGAGAACAUGGAGGAGUCAUCCAGCUCCAGGAACCCACCAGAGAGAUGUCCUCUGUACUCCCGGGAUUCCACACAGGAAGGUCCCACCAUCCCCCUCCAUGAUCAGAGUGGAGACCUCGGUGAUUAUAACAUUGUUAUUAAAGAAGAGUAUAAAGAGGAGGACGAGGAGUACGGGGUGAUGGAGGAGUUUGUAGAAGGACACAAG